CCAGACUCCUACGGGAGGCAGCAGUGGGGGAUAUUGCACAAUGGGGGGAACCCUGAUGCAGCGACGCCGCGUGAACGAAGAAAUAUUUCGAUAUGUAAAGUUCUAUCAGCAGGGAAGAAAAUGACAGUACCUGACCAAGAAGCCCCGGCUAACUACGUGCCAGCAGCCGCGGUAAUACGUAGGGGGCGAGCGUUAUCCGGAUUCACUGGGCGUAAAGGGAGCGUAGACGGCAGGGCAAGCCAGAAGUGAAAACGCAGAGCUUAACUUUGCGACUGCUUUUGGAACUGCCCAGCUAGAGUACAGGAGAGGUAAGUGGAAUUCCUAGUGUAGCGGUGAAAUGCGUAGAUAUUAGGAGGAACACCAGUGGCGAAGGCGGCUUACUGGACUGAGACUGACGUUGAGGCUCGAAAGCGUGGGGAGCAAACAGGAUUAGAUACCCUGGUA
rnacentral:rRNA from 1 species